UGAUUCUUGAUAAAACUCCUCCAAUGGUGUUAAGAACAACAGUUUCUAAGUUUCUCUGCUAGGCCACAAGUCUCCAAACUUCCCAAUAGUAAAAAAGAUCCCUAGAAAGUGAACAUACACGUUUUUAAAUAUUCAACCGCGUGCCAGGCGCCCUAGGCGUGGAAUUUGCGCUUCAGGCACAAGUGGACAGAGUCAGUAAGACCGAAAUGCGCCCUAAGCAUAGGGUUUUGCGCUUCAGGCACACAACAUCUGAUUUCUGACGUAUAGUGCAUUUUUCUCCUCUUUCGAGUCUGAAUUUGGUUCCACUGUCUUCACAGAAGUUGUAGAUAUGGAUCUUAGCUUUCAUUUGAAUUUGGUUUGACU
rnacentral:lncRNA from 1 species